UGUGUUUUGGAUAAAAUGACCAAAGGGGUUAGUGUGUGUUUUGGGGUAAAUGACCAAAGGGGUUAGCAUGUGUGUUUUGGAUAAAAUGACCAAAGGGGUUAGUGUGUGUUUUGGGGUAAAUGACCAAAGGGGUUAGCAUGUGUGUUUUGGAUAAAAUGACCAAAGGGGUUAGUGUGUGUUUUGGGGUAAAUGACCAAAGGGGUUAGCAUGUGUGUUUUUGAUUAAAAUGACCAAAGGGGUUAGUAUGUGUGUUUUUGAUAAAAUUACCAAAGGGGUUAGCAUGUGUGUUUUGGGGUAAAUGACCAAAGGGGUUUUAUGUGUGUUUUUGAUAAAAUUACCAAAGGGGUUAGCAUGUGUGUUUUGGGGUAAAUGACCAAAGG